rnacentral:misc_RNA from 1 species
GAUGAAGAACGUAGCGAAAUGCGAUAAGUAAUGUGAAUUGCAGAAUUCAGUGAAUCAUCGAAUCUUUGAACGCACAUUGCGCCCAUUAGUAUUCUAGUGGGCAUGCCUGUUCGAGCGUCAUUUCAACCCUUAAGCCCCCGUUGCUUAGCGUUGGGAACCUACAGCGAUGUAGUUCCUUAAAGUUAGUGGCGGAGUCGGUUCGCACUCUAGGCGUAGUAAAUUUUAUCUCGCCUCUGUAGUUGGACCGUCCCCCGCCGUAAAACACCCCAAUUUCUAAAGGUUGACCUCGGAUCAGGUAGGAAUACCCGCUGAACUUAAGCAUAUCAAUAAGCGGAGGA